GCAAGUCGAGCGGUAGAAUUUCUAGCUUGCUAGAAAUUUGAGAGCGGCGAACGGGUGAGUAACACGUUGGUAUCUGCCCCCAAGUCAGGGAUAGCCAUUGGAAACGAUGAUUAAUACCGGAUAGUCUCUUUGGAGUAAAAAUUUAUUGCUUGGGGAGGAACCUGCGUUCUAUCAGCUUGUUGGUGAGGUAAAAGCUCACCAAGGCUAUGACGGAUACCUGGUCUGAGAGGAUGAUC
rnacentral:rRNA from 1 species